rnacentral:lncRNA from 1 species
AGAUAGUUCCUUAUAGCAAUGUGAGAACGGACUAAUACAGAGACUCAAUAAUACUGACCUGGGAAAUGUUAUUGGUUAAAGCUCCAGUGUGGAAAAAGCUCAAGGGUCAACUGGUGAGGGCAAAUCAACCAUACAUUCCCCUGCAAAUUCUUCCCCCUGGGAACCCACAGGGCUGAACUGCCAAGCUCUGGGACCCCCUGGCUUUUGCAGGUGAGCAAAGCAAAUGUGCAUCUGCCAUCUAUGCACUUAGUGUCCCAGAUGUGUCUUCUAGAUCAGGGCUCUGCAACUUGUUCUCUAAAGGGCCAGGUGGUAAAUAUUUUCAGCAUUGUGGGCCACAGGGUCUCUGUUGCAGCUGCUCAGCACUGCAGUUGUAGCAAGAGAACAACCAUAGACUAUACAGAAAUCAACAGGCAUGGCUGGUUUGGCCACAGGCAGAAGUUCUAGAUCCUUGCUACUCACAGCGUGGACCCUGACUUGGUAUUGUCAGCAUGUCCUGGUGCACCCACUGGUCUACAGCUGGCCCUGAUGCACCUGAAUUUCCACUCAUAAGGUAAACCCUAACACAAAUUCUUGCAUGGGAAUGGAUUUCUUUAAUCAGAUUGCUUUCUUGCCAGUACUGGGAGUCGGGGUUCGGAUGAGGGAAGGGUGAAACUCAUUUGGAACUUGGAGAUCACGGAAAGGUGGUUCUGAAGGGGGUGAAUGGGGACUGGGCACGCCACUGGAGGGUAACCCCUGAGAAAACACUGGGACCUGCAGAGGAAAAAGCUCUGGGAAGUGACCGUGGAGCCAAGUGGAAGACAGGAGGG